rnacentral:rRNA from 1 species
GUAAGAGGGGGAUAACAUCCGGAAACGGGUGCUAAUACCGCAUAGUUUUUCUUGAUCGCAUGAUUGAGAAAGGAAAGACGGCCUUUGUGCUGUCGCUUAUGGAUGGACCCGCGGCGUAUUAGUUAGUUGGUGAGGUAACGGCUCACCAAGACGAUGAUACGUAGCCGACCUGAGAGGGUGAUCGGCCACAUUGGGACUGAGACACGGCCCAAACUCCGUACGGGAGGCAGCAGGUAGGGAAUCUUCCGCAAGUGGACGAAAGUCUGACGGAGCAACGCCGCGUGAGUGAAGGUAAAGGGUUUUCGGAUCGUAAAACUCUGUUGUCAGAGAAGAACAAGUUGGAGAGUAACUGCUCCAGCCUUGACGGUAUCUGACCAGAAAGCCACGGCUAACUACGUGCCAGCAGCGGC